GACGAACGCUGGCGGCGUGCCUAAUACAUGCAAGUCGAACGCAGUGGGGACGGGUGAGUAACACGUGGGUAACCUCCCAUCAGAGGGGAUAACACUUGGAAACAGGUGCUAAACCGAUACUGAUGGAUGGGACCGGGGGGCAUUAGCUAGUUGGUGAGGUAACGGCUCACCAAGGCCACGAUGCAUAGCCGCCCUGAGAGGGUGAUCGGCACCACUGGGACGGAGACACGGCCCAGACUCCGACGGGAGGCAGCAGUAGGGAAUCUUCGGCAAUGGGCGAAAGUCUGACCGAGCAACGCCGCGUGAGUGAAGAAGGUUUUCGGAUCGUAAAGCUCUUUUGGUAGAGAAGCGUUAUCUAACCAGAAAGCCACGGCUAACUACGUGCCAGCCGCCGCGGUAAUAC
rnacentral:rRNA from 1 species